GGCCUGGCUGCUCAGACUCUAUUAAUGGGGUUUCCCUGGAGAUGGGGCCUGAGUGCACCAGAGGGUCAGCAAGAUGGUGUCAGAGUCCCAACUCCUCAUCCUCCUGGUGCUCUGGGUCUCAGGUGCCUGUGGAGACAUUGUGAUGACUCAGACUCCAGACUCUGUGGCUGGGUCUCCAGGAGAGAAAAUCACCAUGAAGUGCAAGUCCAGCCAGAGUGUUAGCAGCUAUCUAGCCUGGUACCAGCAGAAACCUGGACAGGCUCCUAAACUGCUCAUCUAUAGUGCAUCUACCCGGGCAUCUGGGGUCUCUGACCGAUUCAGUGGCAGUGGGUCGGGGACAGAUUUCACUUUCACGAUCAGCAGUUUCCAGCCUGAGGAUGUGGGACUUUAUUACUGUCAGCAAUAUAAUAGCUAUACUCCCACAGUGCUUCAGCUUCAAACAAAAACCUCCUCCCCAGGGCUGUAGGUCUGUGAGUCCAGA